UACGUAGGCAGCAAGCGUUGUUCGGAAUUACUGGGCGUAAAGAGUGUGUAGGCGGUGCUCUAAGUUCGGUGUGAAAUCUCCCGGCUUAACUGGGAGGGUGCGCCGGAAACUGGAGUGCUCGAGCGUGGGAGAGGAAAGCGGAAUUCCUGGUGUAGCGGUGAAAUGCGCAGAUAUCAGGAAGAACACCAAUGGCGAAGGCAGCUCUCUGGGACGGUACUGACACUGAGACGCGAAAGCGUGGGGAGCGAACAGG
rnacentral:rRNA from 1 species